CUACGUGCCAGCAGCCGCGGUAAUACGGAAGGUCCAGGCGUUAUCCGGACUUAUUGGGUUUAAAGGGAGCGUAGGCCGUGGAUUAAGCGUGUUGUGAAAUGUAGACGCUCAACGUCUGAAUUGCAGCGCGAACUGGUUCACUUGAGUAUGCACAACGUAGGCGGAAUUCGUCGUGUAGCGGUGAAAUGCUUAGAUAUGACGAAGAACUCCGAUUGCGAAGGCAGCUUACGGGAGCACAACUGACGCUGAAGCUCGAAGGUGCGGGUAUCAAACAGGAUUAGAUACCCUGGUAGUCCGCACAGUAAACGAUGGAUGCCCGUUGUUAGUUCACUUAAGAAUUAGCGACCAAGCGAAAGCAUUAAGCAUCCCACCUGGGGAGUACGCCGGCAACGGUGAAACUCAAAGGAAUUGACGGGGGCCCGCACAAGCGGAGGAACAUGUGGUUUAAUUCGAUGAUACGCGAGGAACCUUACCCGGGCUUGAAUUGCAGACGAACGAUUCAGAGAKAUGAGG
rnacentral:rRNA from 1 species